ACUAACCUCAAAUUUCGCAGUUCACAAAAUAAAGUACACUCCGUAAAAUAAAAUAAAGUUCCCCUGCGACUCUGCUCAACCUCCCAAAAUCCCCAAUGACGACUGACGGCCUCGCCUGCCAUCCCCCACCUCCGCGCCGUCGACCGCCGCCUCUUCCUCGACGCCAUCACCACCUCCUCCAGCUGACCACCCACUAGGACCGCGCACCACCUCGUAGCCUCCGGCGGCCGAGCCACCACCUCAAACCCAAGCCCCAGCCUCCACCGCAGCACCGCCUCCCUCAUCACCGGCGACGCCUCCGCUUCCGUGGGUCUCGUCCCCGUAUUCCCCAGCGUCACCUUCCCCAACUGUUGCUCCAUCGCAUGAUCGCAGCAACUGUGCUGCAGCACGGCAACUUAAUUUACCCAUCCCGUCUCCGGGGUCCCCUCGACCAUGCCCCCCCAUGGCCCAAAGUGGUGGUUCGGGGAGCCCCUCUAGGCCACCGCCGGCGACCAGGGUUGCUGCCUCUACCUUCUCCUAGACCGGCUCCCAGCUCAGAGAAGGGCGCCUAGACCCGCACGCCGCAGUUGCGUGGCCACUACGACGACCACUCAGUGCCCCUUGGAGGACAGGGACACAGGGUUUGUACCAUUCUGAGCUCCUUUAAUCCCCUGUCAGGAAAUGCUGAAGUUCCUGUCGCUCUAGUUUGAGAAUCCCGACCACCAAGGGCAUCAAGUCGAGCCCAAUGGCCCGCCAACCACCGGCACGGUGAGGGCCAUUGACCAGGUGAUGGGCAACAGGGCAAGCAUAUUUGUGGGUUGGAGGAAAGGGGAUAUUCGACGAUGUGAUCAUACUCAUCAUUUUCUAGUGGACCUGGCGCCAUGGAUUAAGGUGCUGGCACUGGAUUCAGUCAAUGAGCCCACCGCUGGCCAUCAGGCAACCGCCGGUGUUGUCACCAGGGAUGUCGAAUCGAACAAGGGGCUAGUGUCCAGGAAGGUGAACUAUGGGGUCCUAUUUGAGGAUGUACCUGAAGCAGGAUUUUCCAGAAUGCCUCCAUUGCUCAGAUAAUUACAAGAUCUCUCUGAUCAUCGAGUUGCUGGAGGAAGGGGGUAGGAGAUGGAGAGGGCAGAAAGGGGCGAGUGUGGCUGUGUGUAGGCACUCAUAUGUAUGCAAUGCCUUCUUGAUGAGGCCAUAUUCAUUUGUCCAUGGACCUCAGUUUGCUCAGGGAAGGAGUGAAGGGGUUGACAGAGUCUUUCUUCACAGGAAACCGAAAACCUAAGCGAGCUACCUCUGGUUGGGCCAAGUAGGAAACCAACAUAUUUUGAACUAAUCAUCAGGAUCUGAAUUUUUUAAUCCAAUCAUUCGAGCCAUGCAAAGCCCAUGACAAGAAGCCCACACAGUUCGAUCCAAUCAUCAGCACCAAAAAAUGGUACCGGCCAUGAGAAAAAAGAGUGAAAACUAGCCCAAUGAAAAGAAAUGUUGCAAACUUAUCACUUAAGCAGACCCUAUAUCUUCAGAACAACUAAACAAUUCUCAUUUGCCACUAUUAACAAAUAUUCACCUCUUACAUUACUAACGAACAGAUAUCUUGCUUCAUGUAAUUUGUAAGUUUCAUGUUCUAUGCCUCCAUUUAUUUGCGUCAAUUCCUAGUGUCAUAUUUUCAGAUUGACGGCAAUGCAUGCCACCAUGAUCUACUAUUGAAAUAAGGCGUGGGUGCAUUGCAUUUUGUAGCUUCCUAGCCAGUAGUAGGUAUGCUCUGAUGCACAUUACUCAAACUGUUCGAUUGUAAGCUGUCUAUUUUGUGAUCUUGAUAUUGAGUUUGGAGAAAGAUCUGUAAUCAUGCUAUCUUGUCAAUCUGUUACUCAUUAUGUUAGGGACUGUUUUUCUUUUCUACUGCUAACUCGGAUGCCUACAUAGCAAAAUUUGUUGAUGUGUAAUUUGCCCAAAUGGCUAGAUCCUCCAGUGCUGCAUCCUCCAGUUGAACAGAACAACCAUCCGUUCUGAAAUGGAUAUUACCUAUGGAAAAUAUAAUGAAGGGUUGUAAAUGGAUAUUACCUAUGGAAAGUUCGAAAUCGGUAAACAUGAAAGCAGUAUUGAUAAUAUAUAUUCUAGGUUGUUCAACAUUUUGCUGUCAUCUGGAAGGUUGCAUAUCGGUAACAUCCAAACUCUUAAAAGAAUGAGUCAUGUCUAGGAGGAACUAGACAUCAAUGUUUAAUUAAGGUAGAGCCGAGGUUUGAACCCACGCGAGCCAGUGCACAAUCCAUGGUGCUAGACAGUAAGCCCCUGGGUGACUUCUCUGUAACAUCCCAACUUUUAUUUCUGCCAGAUUAAUUUCUUGUUUGGCUGUUCAUACCAAGGCAAUUUCAUGGUAGGGAUUCAGAGAUCACAUUAACUGCACAUGUAUGUACCAUGCCUUGGAAUGGCGAGUUUCGGUCGGUUCUCUGCAGCCUGUCCUGGCCCUGGGUUAAGUUUUUCUGACUAUGCUCUCAGCCAAACAGAAAAAUAACCUCAGAAAGAGCACGAGGUAAAAACAAUACUUUUGUCCAAAACAAAUUACUUUUGUAGAUUGAGGAGCAGAACAAAUGAAACCGUAAGAUUUUCUCUUAUCUCAAAGGGGCAUGAAAGUACUCCAUAGACCAUAUCUGAAGACGCAUUUCUUGGAUGUGAUUCUACAUCCAACUUCUGAAGCCAUAAGAUUCUGGCUUUACAAGCACAAUGCCAUGACAACUUUACUUUCUUACUUCUGAAUAAUUGUUUCUGGCAUGUGAAGAAAUACCAGAGAGAGGAACAAAAAGGUUCAGGGGAUGCAUGUUCGGAUGUUCGCAAAGAUGAUGAUGACCAGCAAGCCUCUAACCACAUUGUCCAUGCCAUUGAUAAAUGCAACCUGGCAGGUUGCAAGUACUGGCCUACUAGGUAUUCUGGUGGACCUCUGAACAUGAUUGGUUGGUGGCCUGCAAGCAAGAGAUGCCAUAAGAUAUUCUCUCAAACUACACCAUGAGCUAAUGUUGAUUUAUGUAAUGAUCAACAUGCCUUUUCUGAUUCUAAAAAAAAACGUGCCCUUUCUGUAAGAUGCAGCAUGCACCUUUUUUUUUUUGCGAAGAAGAUGCAGCAUGCACCUGUGGCAGUAGAGGGACCAUCAAUAGUUAGAUCCAAUAAUUGGACCUGUGUUUUAGUUGGGUUAUGUUCUUGCAUUGAGACUAUUUGAAGUUCAUCAUUAAUAGUCAUUACUUGAGUAUAGACAUGUUAACUGUUUCCCUGAAGUCGGCAGUGCCUCAUUAUAUGGAAUCGAUCAUCAAAUAGUUCUGCUGACCCACAGUAUUCCCAAAUUAUCUUUUUCAUUUGCAGUAUGAUAUGAGUAUUAAUGAUGACUGAUAUAUGUUCCCUCUCUUAUUCAAGCAGGAAUUCUGAAACAAUAAAAUCAUUGACGAAUCAGAUCUAUUUACAACAGUCAUUUCCAGCUUUUGGCUCGUACUAACCAGAGUCACAGCAAGUCGAGACUAUCUUCUUUGAGGAGUCUUAAGUACUGGUAGUUGCACUGGGAGCAAGAUUAGAGGGUGCUGAUUUUCCAAAUGAAAACUCAGUAUGCCCGGUAGUAUUAAUCUUCUAAAAAGAUAAAAAGGUGAAGCUACGCAUAUACCGUAUGCAAUAUAAUGUGAAGCUUGUUAGAAAUCAAUUCUAAGAUUAGCAUUUUUAUGACGUUGAUCAUAAAAUGUAGGAUAUGUUCGGUUUUUGCCCAAAAUGUGCCUUACCUAUUUUUUGGAUUGUUGCCAAUUUUGAUCACUAUCAAAGGUAUCUCACCUGCCCUGGUCAUUGCCAAUUUUUUCAGCUUGUCCAUUCACCUUUGCCAAUAGCGAAAUAAUGACAAGCAAAACCUAGACAAAAUCUUGGUUGCGUAGACUUGAGCUCAAGCACACCUGUAACACCCAGCCCAUUGAAGUGGUGGCUCAAGUGGAGUUGUGGUGGUAGGUUUAGAUUUUAGUGCGAUUUCUGCUAGCAUAUAAGGCUUGUUGGGUCUAAACACAAUGCAUCGGGUUAAUCUUGUUGAACAAACCAUGGACGAAAGUUUUAGGUGAGGUGCUAUGCAUACGAGGGCCUUCUCCACUGUGGGUGACCAAGGGCUCAUCUUCAGACCUGGGUGUUUCAUAACUGCUUUACAAUCUGGGUUUUAAAUUUUUGCAUAAUUUAUCUGGCAUAAAUUGCUUGCAUGAUUUGGCAGGACAGGCAGUUACUUCAUCAAUCAUUCAGUGCAGUUUUUCAUAAAAAAAAAUUGGGAACCCACUUGGCGUCUUUUUUGGUUGUUGAAUCAGCAAGUUGAUACUUACCUUAUAUUGCACAAUAAGGUCAGAGGCUCUGUUGAGCAAUGCUCUUCUACGAUUUAGCUCGUACUUUGUCGUCGGAAGUUCUGCUUUCCCUUUCAUACUGAUUUACGUCCGUGCUUAUUUACGCUUGUAUACUUGGAGUAUUUACGUACUACAGGGAAACUGUACAAGGUUAACGCUGCUAUUAACUACAGGGAAACUGUAUAAGAAUAACACUGCAAUCAAAGCAUCCCUUUAAUA